rnacentral:rRNA from 1 species
UACGAAGGGGGCUAGCGUUGCUCGGAAUCACUGGGCGUAAAGGGUGCGUAGGCGGGUCUUUAAGUCAGGGGUGAAAUCCUGGAGCUCAACUCCAGAACUGCCUUUGAUACUGAAGAUCUUGAGUGCGGGAGAGGUGAGUGGAACUGCGAGUGUAGAGGUGAAAUUUGUAGAUAUUCGCAAGAACACCAGUGGCGAAGGCGGCUCACUGGCCCGAUACUGACGCUGAGGCACGAAGGCGUGGGGAGCAAACAGG